rnacentral:rRNA from 1 species
CUCCUAAAUGUACUGGGCGACACGCGCACUACAAUGACAAAGUGAAUGAGCGAAACCUCUUUUGGUCCUGCCUCGAAAGGGGUGGGAAAACUGAGAAAACUAUGUCGUGCUUGGGAUCGAAGCUUGCAAUUAUUCUUCUUGAACGAGGAAUGCCUAGUAGAUGUGCUUCAUCAAAGCGCAUUGACUACGUCCCUGCCAUUUGUACACACCGCCCGUCGUUGUUACCGAUGCCAGUUGGAUACAGGUUAACGGACCGUGGUGUUUCCUUCGGGAUUCCACAAACGGCGAAGUUACCCCAUAUUUAACUAGUAGAGGAAGCAAAGGUCGUAACA